rnacentral:lncRNA from 1 species
UUUUAUUUGUUUUUAUAAUAUUGAUUAAUAAGUCAAUAUUAUUUUGAUAACUAUGUAUUCAACUGAGAGGGAAAUUCUAAAACAACAUAUUGGAUGGAAAAAUGGUUGGGAAGAUAGGUAGGUGCCCAUUCUGUUCCUAGCUUCAGAAGUUAUUUAUACCUAUGCAAUACCUUCGCUCAGGUUAAAGAAUGGAAUACUAGUCUUGCAUCAAAUAUAUAUUACAUAUCCAUUCGAUGUUUAUCACCAGAAGUUAGUUCUACCUUUGCAGUACCUCUGCUUUACAUACCUCCUCGCUGGUUAAAGAAUGGAAUAUAAAUCUCAUAUCAAGUUGGUGUAAAAAUUUAGUUCAAUAAACUAAGAAUUUAUAAACGUUAUCAAAAUUUUGAGUGGAGCAAUUGUUUUUCUGGUUUAGCAUGAGUAUGAAUCUGAUAUCAAUUGUAUGUACAAAGAUAGUUUACUUCUUAAAGAACCUAUCAGUAAACCAACUGAUUAUAAAACA